rnacentral:hammerhead_ribozyme from 1 species
AACUAGCUGACGAGUCUCAAAUAGGAUGAAACUUGCGUCGUGGGU